rnacentral:rRNA from 1 species
UACAGAGGGUGCGAGCGUUAAUCGGAAUUACUGGGCGUAAAGCGCACGUAGGCGGCUUGGUAUGUCGGGUGUGAAAUCCCCGGGCUCAACCUGGGAACUGCAUCCGAAACUGCCUUGCUCGAGUAUGGGAGAGGGAAGUGGAAUUUCCGGUGUAGCGGUGAAAUGCGUAGAUAUCGGAAGGAACAUCAGUGGCGAAGGCGACUUCCUGGGCCAAUACUGACGCUCCGGUGCGAAAGCGUGGGGAGCAAACAGG